rnacentral:lncRNA from 1 species
AUGCAAUUGUCCAGGGAAGGAAAAGGCUUUAAAUUGGGGGAUUCUGUGCCGAGACCACCUGUAGGGCAUUCAGCAACGCCGCAGCGCAGGCUCGCAGCCUGCGGGCUGGCCAACAAUACCGGGAAUGGCUGUUUAAAAGGCGGAGCGCACUUGUGCUCCCGGUCCCCACUGACUGUUACAAGUGUUCCCGGCCCCUGGCUCCCUCUCCUUUUUAAAGUAAAAGUCCCACAUCCCUUCAAUGGCCGAGCGCUCAGGCUCCGUGGUGGCCAAUGGAGCCGGCUGCAAGGACGGAACAGUGCGGCCUUUACAAACGCCUUCGAAGAUCAAAGUUUUUCCAACUCAAAGGACCAAGUUCCCUACAGAUUAACCCUAUUCAUCCGGCUCCUCUUGAAGGGAUGGUGUGCAGAACCACUGGACAGACAGAGAAGGCAGCACAUUUGGGACACACAAGCAGGGAUGAUUAUUAAGAUGUUAACCCAUGAGAAGAAUCCAUUCUUGAGCCCUCCCCUGCUCGCGACCAGGCUGUCCAGUGAGUCCCACGGCCAAGAGCGCCCUGAGCUUUAACAGCGCACCUGGACGUCCCAGCAGCACGUGCAGUGACCGCACCACCAGGGGCUCUGCGGACUCCAGACGCCAGAGAGCCCAGGUGGGCUCUGGAGACCUUGGCGGGCACGACACGGGGGAAUGGCGGGGCCCAGGCCCAGGGGGCUGCUGCCUUGCGAAGCGUCCGGCUCACCCACUCAGGUGCGAGCUGGAUCCAAGAUCUCCACUCUGCUGUCAGUCCCACAAGGACCUGGACGGCGGUAGAACCAGCGCGUUUGCCGGUACCUUCCCCCCACUGCCAAGGUCCCCAGGGAAAGUCCCUUUCCGGCUCCUGGUCCUGGCCAAGCUGGCCAAGCCCUCUGGAAGGCAGCAGCAGCUCAGAAGACGCAGGGAGAGCCGGCGAAGCUUCCGAUCAUUUAUCAAAAGUCGUUUUAUUGACAAAAUAGAAUACUUAUAUUUGUUCUUACAGGGGUCGCCUCUACACUUUUUACAAAAAAAAUGUACACGUUGUAUAUCUUUGGAUAUAUACAUAUGGUACACGUUUUUGUUUUUUGUUUUUGCUUUUUACAAUGUAACAAAUAUUAUAUAAUACAUCCUCUAACGUC